rnacentral:rRNA from 1 species
GACCAGACUCCUACGGGAGGCAGCAGUGGGGAAUAUUGCACAAUGGGGGAAACCCUGAUGCAGCAACGCCGCGUGAAGGAAGACGGUUUUCGGAUUGUAAACUUCUGUUCUUAGUGAAGAAGAAUGACGGUAGCUAAGGAGCAAGCCACGGCUAACUACGUGCCAGCAGCCGCGGUAAUACGUAGGUGGCAAGCGUUGUCCGGAAUUACUGGGUGUAAAGGGAGCGCAGGCGGGAAGCCAAGUCAGCGGUCAAAUUGCGGGGCUCAACCCCGUACUGCCGUUGAAACUGCAUCCCUUGAGUGCGCGAGAAGUAUGCGGAAUGCGUGGUGUAGCGGUGAAAUGCAUAGAUAUCACGCAGAACUCCGAUUGCGAAGGCAGCAUACCGGCGCGCAACUGACGCUCAUGCACGAAAGCGUGGGGAUCGAACAGGAUUAGAUACCCCUGUAGUU